GGCGGGACCGCUCGGUCUCGAGCCGCUGGGGAUUCGUCCCAGGCGAGCGCCCGCCAGAGUUAAACCAAACUCUUGUUAUUUAACCGGUCGUCUGAGUUAAAAUUUUGAAUAAAUCAAAACUUUCAACAACGGAUCUCUUGGUUCUCGCAUCGAUGAAGAACGCAGCGAAAUGCGAUAAGUAAUGUGAAUUGCAGAAUUCAGUGAAUCAUCGAAUCUUUGAACGCACAUUGCGCCCCUUGGUAUUCCGAGGGGCAUGCCUGUUCGAGCGUCAUUACACCACUCAAGCUAUGCUUGGUAUUGGGCGUCGUCCUUAGUUGGGCGCGCCUUAAAGACCUCGGCGAGGCCACUCCGGCUUUAGGCGUAGUAGAAUUUAUUCGAACGUCUGUCAAAGGAGAGGAACUCUGCCGACUGAAACCUUUAUUUUUCUAGGUUGACCUCGGAUCAGGUAGGGAUACCCGCUGAACUUAAGCAUAUCAAUAAGCGGGAAGAAA
rnacentral:rRNA from 1 species